AUAUAUAUAUAUAUAUAUAUAUAUAUAUAUAUAUGUAUAUUUACUAAAAACUUUGGAAGACAGUAAGCUAAAAUAUUUUCAUUUCCCCUUUGUAUGGAGACUUUUGGGACACCCUGUGGAAGCAAACUAGUAACAGUUCCAGAAAUGCAAUCAGAUUUGAAAUUACUUACAAAUGUGGCUUAAGUCUGAUUUGGAUUGGGGGGGGGUUGUUUACGUGUUUUAUUUUAGUUUUCCUGAACAAAUCAGACAUGUCGGAGAAUUGGAUUUGACCUGUCUGUCUGAACAUAGCUGAAGUCUGAAGUGUUAUAUUUUAUAAACAGUUUGGUUGAGUUUUAUUUAAACAUUCAGCAUAGUAACAUAUCCCAUAGUAAUCCAAAAUAACAGACCAAAGCACCUCUGUAUGCUGGUUAAUCGCAGCCUUUUUGAACAUGAGCUAGUGCGAACUAAAGCCCCUGAACCAAAGUGAUGGAAAUAACCACACACUCCAAGCACAAGACGGCAUACUCAACAGAACGGCCUGGUGCUGAAAGUACAAAGCCACAGCUAGGCAUGUGCCUAUAUUGUGUAUAUAGAUUCAUAUUCAACGUGUUUUAUAUUGUUAUUGUGUGCACGCAGAAUAUUCAGGAAGCGCCCGAUGUAGACAGAACUCGUGGCAGUUUUUAAAAAAAAUUUUAACAGAUCUGUAAAGCUAACGAGAGAAAUAAUGAUCCGUCUGCCAAAUUCGAAGCCUGUGAAGAUUCACCGUCGAUAGCUCCGGGUGACUGUGUGGUCGUUUGAACAUAUUAGUAAGCCUUACAGAAGUUGUAAAUAGGGACAAAACUUAAGCAGUUAUCAUGAUAUGAAAAACGGGCACAUGUCUAGCAUCGGCCAACCUCGCUGUGCGACUUGAGUGUGUGCUUGAGAGACAAAGGCUUCCUAUUCAUGAUCUCGCUGUGCAAACUACUUGAAUAUUCCAGAGCUUUAAUCCGAUACCACAAGCAAAACGAAGGCAGAGGAUACACACGCACAUCUCUCACUCCUUCUGUGUGCUUUGCAUGUCCGUUUAGCUCACAUUUCGUUCAUAUGAGGCCCUGUGCGCUUUAUGAUCGAAUUUGUGUCCCGUUG
ensembl:lncRNA